UCCCCGCGCGCGCCCGGCGGGGCCGCCGCGCUCCCACCGCUGCGCCCUGCGCGGAGCGGCGCGGAGAGAGGCACAGCUGCCCGCCUGUACGCUGCCCACACUCCCGGCGGGCCCAGCCGACCGCCUCGGCGGCUCUACGAAAACGGGCGACUCGCCCUUCAUUUAUUUACCUAUCGUUUUUCCCCGGGAUCGGAGGAAAGUGGGUUAUCGAUUAUAUAAACACAUCAAUAUUCAUGCGCCGCCGCCGCCGCUGCGCGGGGAGACGCGGCUCGGCAAGGAAAAAACGAGCCGGGCAAGGGGGCGCAGGGAGGCGCGUCCUGCUGCGGGGAUGAGCGCAUUGCCUCCGCGCCCGCGGAGCGCGCAGUGGGACGUGCUGGCGCUGUCGAUUCGUCGGGUGCUGUGGGAACUGCCACUGCGGGGCCGGGAUACCCCGCGGGAGAAGAGGGGCGAGGGAUAACGGGUAGGGCGGUUACGCGCCCCGCGGAGGGAGGCUGCCCUCUCCUGAGCUCUGCCAGCCACACGUCGGAGACGCGGACUCUCCGCAUCCCGCGGAUCCUCCGCGACCCUGCGCCAGCGUAGACAGCUUGGCGUACAGCCGCAGCUGCGGACGGUGCCGGCGGGGGAAGGGGGAGAACGGCCGGCCGACUCCCGACGCUAUACCCACGGAAGAGCAGCCCGCCGUGCCGGGCACAGAAAGUUUCCAUCGGGGCCCCAUGAGCUGCAGCCCCACAGGCUGUGCCCUUCUCCGCUUAUUGGGCUCGUUCCUGCCAAGACCCCUCUGCCGACACUGCGCUGCGGGGGACGGGGCACGACAGCACGGACACGCGCCUGAGGCCGCACCCUUCCCCUCCUCCUCCUCGCCGCGAAACGGCGGCUACGCAAGUAAAUUAAUAAAUAAAUAAACAAAUAAAUAAGUAAAUACUAAGGAUCUUGA